AUGUACGGAAAGGCAGCCGAAUUCUGGGCGGACUUGCGCCUUGAGCUCCUAUCAGCAGGUGAAAUCUCUGGAGAAGAGAAAGGUGUUUCAAAUCAAAUAUGGCGGCUAUAUUGGUCCAGUCAUCAGCGUUUCUUCAGGCAUAUGUGCAUGUCUGCGAAGGUCCCUGCUGUUGUGAAGUUGGCUAAGGAGGCUUUGGCUGAGAACAAAUGUGUGGUGAUUGGUCUUCAGAGUACUGGAGAGGCUCGAACAGAGGAAGCUGUCACAAAAUAUGGUGUUGAAAUGGAAGACUUUGUUUCUGGUCCCCGGGAGCUUCUUCUGAAGCUGGUGGAAGAAAAUUACCCUUUACCUCCAAAACCUGAUACUUUUCAGCAAGGUGAAGAAAAAGUCACGGAGAUCCAGCGUAAGCGGCAUUCUCCACAAGAUGUAUCUUUUAAAGGGCGAGUUAGGAAAGUAGCAAAAAUGGAAGAUGUGAGCGAUGAUGAUAGUGGUGACUAUUCUCCAUCUGAGUCAUCAGACCAUGAAUCAUCAGAAUCGGAUGAGGAGUUCCACAUGUGUCAAAUCUGCAACUCAGAGGAGGAGAAGAGUCUAUUGCUCAAUUGCUCUGGUUGUUCUCUACGUGUUCAUCCUAGCUGUCUGACACCACCUUGGACUGGUAUGUUGACUGAUGAUUGGUCAUGCUACUCAUGUAAGAAGAUAGAAGGCCAGGAAAUGGAGCAUGAUGCUAAUGUAGCUGAUUUUUCAAAGAGGUAUGACUCCGCAGUAGAGAGAAAGUUGAAGAUUUUGGAUGUCAUACGUUCCUUGGAUCUCCCUAAUAAUCCUCUGGAUGAUAUCAUUGAUCAGCUAGGGGGGCCUGACAAGGUCGCAGAAAUAACUGGACGACGUGGUAUGCUAAUAAGAGCUUCAGAUGGAAAAGGCGUUAUUUAUCAGGCGCGGAACGCGAAAGAAGUCUCAAUGGAGAUGAUCAAUAUGCAUGAAAAGCAGCAGUUCAUGGAUGACAAAAAACUAAUUGCAAUUAUAUCUGAAGCGGGAUCAGCUGGUGUUUCCCUACAUGCUGACAGAAGGGCAAAAAACCAGAGAAGGAGAGUACAUGUAACACUAGAACUCCCCUGGAGUGCAGACCGUGCAAUACAGCAGUUUGGGAGAACACAUCGCUCUAAUCAAACAUCUGCACCACAAUAUAGGCUUCUUUUUACAAAUCUUGGUGGUGAAAAGCGAUUUGCAUCAAUUGUGGCAAAAAGACUCGAGUCUCUUGGAGCUUUAACACAAGGCGAUCGCAGGGCUGGACCUUCUCUAAGUGCUUUCAACUACGAUAGCACUUAUGGGAAAAAGGCGCUAACCAUGGUGUAUAGGGGAAUAAUGGAGCAGGAUUCUUUUCCAGUUGUUCCUCCGAGGUGUUCUGACAACCAGGCCAGCAUCGAAGAAUUCAUUACUGAGGCAAAGGUUGCUCUAGUAUCAGUUGGAAUUAUAAGGGAUGCCACAGUAUGUAAGUUUAUCUAA
rnacentral:rRNA from 1 species